rnacentral:rRNA from 1 species
UACGAAGGGGGCUAGCGUUGCUCGGAAUCACUGGGCGUAAAGGGUGCGUAGGCGGGUCUUUAAGUCAGGGGUGAAAUCCUGGAGCUCAACUCCAGAACUGCCUUUGAUACUGAGGAUCUUGAGUACGGGAGAGGUGAGUGGAACUGCGAGCGUAGAGGUGAAAUUCGUAGAUAUUCGCAAGAACACCAGUGGCGAAGGCGGCUCACUGGCCCGUAACUGACGCUGAGGCACGAAAGCGUGGGGAGCAAACAGG